AGUGCAAAAUUAAAAGAAAAGGAAAUAUUCAACUUGGGAUUAUGCUGGAACUCAAUAGCAGUGGACAGGUAUGAUAAAGAUGAAAAGGUGUUGGAAGGCCUCCAUCCUCACCCAAAUUUGAAAAGCUUAACAAUCGAAUGGUAUGGAGGAAAGAAAUUCCCAUCUUGGGUUAAUGAUUUGUCGCUAUUUCACAAUCUGAUUCAUAUCAAAUUGAAUUGGUGUGUAGAAUGUGAAGAAGUUCCCACUCUGGGGCAUCUACCCUGUCUUAGGGUUCUUAAAAUAUAUGGAAUGGAGAAUGCAAGAAGUAUAGGAAGUGGGUUUUACAGUUACAGUGAUGGGAGUUACAGAAAUACUACUACAUUAUUUCCGGCAUUGAGAACACUCGAAUUGAAGGAGAUGUAUAACUUAAAAGAGUGGAAGGAUACAAAGGAGUUGACAAGCGCAUCUUGCAAGAAGAUUCCAUCUUGGAAAAUAACCAACUCAAUGACAACUGGUGCCAAGUUCCUUCAGGUUUGGAAAAUAACCAACUCGAUGACUGCUGAUGCCAAGGUACUUCAGGAAAAUGCAAUUGAGACAAUAUGCCUAUUGUUUCCAGUUGGCGGAACAAUUGAUUAUAAUUGCAAGCUGAUGAACAAAGGAGGAAUGUAUAUACUUAAUAUUGAGAGAGCAAUCUUCAAGGACAAGGAGGAAGCUGGGGUUGGGCUGAUAAUCAGAGUUGCACAGGGACUACUUAUAGCUGUGAUGAGUAAGAGAAGUUUGUUUAUGAAUCCAACGAAAUCGAGGUGAUUGUUGCUGACUGCUGAUAGAGUGCUGAGUUUUGCAAACUAUCAAAUAUAUGAAGGUACAUAUGAUCUGUUUGCAUCUAGGAAAAUAAUCAACUUGAUUCAACUGAUGCCAAGGCACUGGGUAUAGCAUAUCUAUUGUGUUUAGCUGGAGGAAAAAUUUAUUCAUGGAGCUUUAACACUGCCAAGAAAACGGAAGAGAAGAAUAUCCAUCACUGCCCCAAAUCAAAGGAAAGUUGUGCAAAGGGGAGCGGUGCAGAGUGGGUGGUCUAGGAUUUCCUUUCCACAUUCCAAAUAUCAUUUUUUGAUGAAUUUAUCAAAGAAGAAGCAGUUUGAAGAUCAUAUACAUUAUUAAGAUGGAUGACUAGUAAGUUCUCUCACCUCAUCCUCCUUUCUUUUCUAAUACUCUCCUUAACAACAACAUAAGAGUUUUUUAUUUUUAUUUGCUCCCAAUUCCUUCAUUUCUCCUUUAAUCAAUAAAAAAGUUGCCAUUAAGUGCAGACACUAGGGACAGUAUAUCUAUUGUAUUCCGCUGGAGGAAAAAUGAAUUAACUUAUGGACUUUUAAUCUAGCCACAAGCUAUAGGAAGUUUAUGAGAAUUGGUAGCGCUUGACAUUUCUUCUAAUGUAAAAGCCACCAGAAUUCCUUAUUUAUCAGAGGAUUUUUUUUUUCCAAUGUCAAGGAUAUUUCGCACACCACCCUUUUUGGAGCCUAAUCUUCUUUUGGUUGUCAGAGCUAUUUGGCCAGCUUUGACUCCUAUAUGUGCUUAGUUGGAGGCAUUAAAUUUUGAUAAUGUUGGAGCCUCUGCAUAUGUUCUAUGGUAACUUUCCGUCUUUGUAAGAACUGAAGUUCUGGAACAAGAACUGCUACUACCUACCAACAAUGCAGGAGGUGCCCUUGCUUUCUAUGGAAAGCUAAAUGGAAGAUUCCUGGAGUCGUUGUCAAUGCUUGAUGCUUUGUUUCUUACUGUUUGCUAGAGUUCCAUUGGUAGAAGAUUGGUCAUAUUCCAAGAAUCACAGUGGGGAAAUUUAAAUUGGUUCCAAUGCAAUUGACUUGGUGAAAUUUGCACUGGCAUAUCUAAUGUGUUCAGCUGGAGGAAACAUUUAUUCAUGGAGCUUUUAACCAACCCCGAAUCCAACCGAAGAGCUAAAUAUCCUGUCAUUGCUCCAAAUUAAUUGAAAGAUGUGAAAAGGGGUGUGGUGCAGAGCGGUCUAGGAUUUCCCACAUUCCAGAUAUCUAUUUUAAUGAAUGUAUUAAACAAGAAGCUGUCUAAAGAUCAUUAUUCAGAUGGAUGACCAGUAAGUUUCAACAAUUAAAUUCUCUAACAUGGUAGAAGUUCUUUUGUAAUAUAAAAAGAAAUGGAAAAGAAUCAGUCUUCUUUUUGGUCAAUCAUAUGUCAACGGUGAAAAUUAGGCUAUUGGAUGGACCCUACUCUUAACAUAUUUGAGAAUGUCUUAGACAAUAAGAGGAAAGCCACCUAUUGUUCUUACAUGAGCUGUACAUUUGCAAAAAGCUGCAAUAUCCACUUAUGGUGUAACUGGCUCAUUGCAAUAUCUCCUUAUGAUAGGAGCUGUGGUAACUUUUCAUCAUCUUAGGAACUGAAAUUCUGGAACAAGAACUGCUACUACUUAUCAGAAAUUCAGGAGGUGCUCCCUUUUUGUGGAAAGCUAGAUGGAAGUAUCCUAGAAUGGUUAUUGAAGCCCAAUGUUUUGUUUCUAACUGGUCACUUUGCAAGGGAUAUGGAAUCGGCAAGAGUGGUCCAAGAAUUGCAAUGGAGGGAAUUUAAAAUUGAUUCCAACGAAAUUGUUUCAUUGAAAUUUGAUGCUUCACGAUUGUUUGGGGUUGGGGUAACUAUUUAUCUCUUCAAGAAUAGAAGCUCAGGAGCAAGAGUGCUACUACCUACCAGCAAAGCAAGUGGCGCACUCACUUUCCAUGGAAAGCCAAAUGAAGAACUGAAGCUUGAAUUGGUUCCAAAUUUCCAAUCUAAUUGUUUCAUUGAAAUUUGAUAUAAAAGGAGCAACAAAACCAACAUUUAUAUGAAGGCAUAAAUACACUGUGGAAAUGGCUCUGCUUGACUGCAUGCAAAGAAAUGAUGACAAUACUAAAAGUCCUAUCAGCCCCUCUUUGAAGCUUCUCCAAGGUUCAAAGUGGUUGCCUACCUCCUCAUCUCCUACAUUUGGAAAGGAUCUUGACCCAAAAGGAAUAUGUUCAUCAUUACAAGAAAUGAGUUCCCACCAAAUUGAAGAAGGCCAAGAAUUUGAGACAUACUCUUAGCAUGAAAAAACAUAAUCAGGAUGUUAGCACCACACCUUCUUGGGUUGUCAGGUUGGAUGAUGAUGAAGAUGAAGAAGAUCCUGAAUUCUAUGGAAGCCCAGCAUUUGAAUCAAGGCUGGCUCCUGAGGGGUACAAGGAAACCACUAGACAUGAUCCAAGAGCAAUACAUAAGAAUUUUGGGAAGCAUGUUUUGGAACGCACUGUCAAUCUUACUAUUAAGAAUAAAAACAGAUGCCUACAAGUCUUAAAAGGACAUUAACUGAAACUGUAACUGAAAAUUUGGCAUCAGCUUUUGCUGCUACGGUAUCAGAAAUUCAGAGUGCUUUCCACAAAUUUAUUGUCUCUGUUGCUACUGAAAGAGGAAAGCAAGAUAAUAAGGGUGAGCAAAUAUGGAUAAGGUUGUUUCAAUGAAGGAGUAUCUCAUGUAUAGUUUUCGU